CGCGCCGCGCCCCCGCAGCUUUGUGGGAAAUGUAGUCCGGCUCCCCGGGGUGGAGAUGCUGGGAGGGGCGGCAUUGGUCCGCUGGUUGCCCUGGCUCCUGCUGGGAGAGGCUCUGCCUCCUCUGAUCCUGCCCACCCCCUGGGAAGGACACCACAGGAAGGAAGGAGAAGGCAAUGGCUGCUGGGCCUCUACUAUUGGGAGUUCAGAUUUUUAGCACCUCCCUACCAUGUGCUAAGCAGCGUUCUGGGUUCUAGGAAGGUAGCAGUGAAUGAAACAGGUAACACCCCUUCCUCCUGGAUCUUCUCUUCUAGAAAGAGGAGGCAGCAGUGAAGAAGAAAUACUGCUGAGGACGAGGUUACAUGCUGUGAUGGCCACGCAGCAGGGUGGCCUGGCUGAGUGUGACGGGGCACCUUUGAGGAGAUGGCAUUCAAACUGUUGUAAAUCUGUUGAAAUAAUCUAUUGAAUAAUCUGCUUAUUAUCCAUUGAUUUGAAAUGCUACCUUUAAAAUAUACUAAAUUUAUAUAUGUAUAUAAGAUGUGCACAUAUAAUAUAUUCACACACAUACAUACAUGCAUGAGUUUAUUUUUCUGGAUUCUGUUCUAUUGCUCUAUUUCUACUAUAGUAACACACUAUUUGUUUUAGAAUUUAUUUUGUUAUUUUAUAAAGAAAAUCCACCCCCCCUUGUUUUUCUUUUCAAAAUUUUGGUUACUGUACUGUUCUUAUACAUUUAUCCUUAGGGUCAAAUUUUGUUAACUAUAAUCAAGUUCUAACAGAAACAGUUAAAAAGAAAAAAUAUGCAAUUUGGAUUUGGAUUCAUUAAAUCUGUAUCAGUUUGAGGAAGAUUACCAUAUUUACAAUGUUUAUUCUUCCUACUGAGUAAAAAAAUUACCCUUCAUUUUAUUUGGAUCUUUCAUUAUGGAUUUUGUUAACUUUGAUCAUGAGGCUCUUGCUUAUUCCUAGUAAGUAUAUUCUGAGGUGUUUCAUUUUUGUUGCACUGUGAUUGGGAUUUAUCCAUGAUUGUGGCUUUGUUAAAAAAAAAAGAAGAAAUUGGGUUGCUAAGAAUUAUAUUUGAAGACACUUUGCUGUUGUGGUGCCUAAAACUUCAUCACUAUUGUAUCUUCUUUAUAAAGUAUACUUUCAUUAUUAAAAUAUCCCUAUUUAUUCCAUUUGAUAAUUCAUCUUUUUAAAGAAUAACAAUAUCAAAAAAGCCUGUGUUUCAGGUUUAAGAAAACCUCUGCAUAAAGGAGAUAAACCCAUGAAGCUGCUUAUUUCAAACACCCUGAGUUACCCCAUGCUUAAUGUAGUGCUGGGGAGAAAAAACGCAUAAUAAGUGGAAAGGAGAAAGGCAGAAAACAUUUUAAGGGAUUAACAACAAAUACAUUUUAUGAACGAUACAGUUAAGUUUCACUUCAGCCUUUUAAAAUGCCUUUCUGUACUAAUCUACCCAGGGCUCCAUAGUACGUUACAUAGUAGGGACAAGCUCUGCAGCACGAGGGCUGGAGGUUGGGGGUGGGUAGGUUCUGCACUUAAGGGAAUCUAGGGAAUAGAAGAAUCUAGGGAAGUGGGGAAGACGAGCAUAUAGCCCAUAGGAGUCUGAGUUUGGGCUUUUAAUUUUGCCCAAUAUGUUCAGCUAAAAAGGCAAUUGCCUUGUAAUUAAUUUAUUGAAAGUAGAGUAAUUUUUGGAAAGAGUGUCAUAUUUCUGCUCUGUUGUUUUUCAGAAAGAAGGGGCUUAUGUUUUGUUUCCACAUAUAUUCUACGUUAUUUGAUAUUGAUAUGGUCUCCUCCAUGCCUUUUUGUUUGUUUGCUUUUGUCUGCUAUAUCUCGUCUCUAUCACCACCCCUUUUUAACAAUUUUUUGGUUUGUGUUUUAGGUGUAUCUCUUGUAUGUGCCAUAUAAUUGUGUUUUAAACCAAUUUUACAGUUUUUGUCUAUUAAUAGACAAAGUCAACCCAUUUACAUUUGUUGUUAUGCAUGUAUCAAGUCUUUUUCUGGUUAUUUAAUGAUUUGUCCUUAUUAUGCUUUCUUGUUUCCUUUCUUCUCCUUGCUUUAAAUUUUUGAACUGAUGAUUUUUCUUGUUUCCUUUUCUUCCUUUCAUAAAAUGAAAAUUCUGCCAUGUAUUUAUAUCCUGCUAGUAGCUACUUUUACUUUUCUUGACACUAUUUGUCAGUGAUUUUUAACAUAUUUUUGUUAUUUUGAUAUACUGAUUUAAAAGUAUUAGGAGAAAAUAAUGAGGUAGAAAGAUAUAUGAUAAAUUCUGUGCCUCAGGGUUGACACUUUCUUCUGGAGUUCAUAGCCAGUAGGAUGUAAAAUACACAACUUGCUUGGAAAUUGGUUUCAUUCCAUCUCUGGUCUCUCCAGUCCUUUUCUUUCCACUAACUUUCUCCCCUUUGCCUAUUCACAUAUUACAGUGCUCUCUGUCCUUAAAGGAAAACCUUUUCCAUUGCUUUAUUUACACGACUUAUUCCUUACUUCUUUUCAUACAGUGUUAUCUCUCAUCUUCACAAAAAGUUUGAAGUAAUUUCAUCUGGCUGCUUCUGAUUCCUGAUCCUAUCUUCCUUAUCUUCUCCACUGUAAGCUGACUUCUUCCUUCAUGACUCUUCUGAAAUUAGCUAAUUUUCGAAUCAGCAGAUUCUUUUCAAUCAUCAUUCUGUUUGACCCACCCAGCUUCUGAUAGUGUUGACUAGUCCCUCCUCUUUGAAACCCUCUUUCUCCUGAGCUUCAAUCCUGAGUCUCCUUCCAUCUCCCUUUCUGUCUUUCUCUCGCUCUUCCUCUUGCUGAGGAUUGCUAGGGUCUUUUCUUGGCCUUCUCCUCACAACAUGAGGAGUUGAAUGGCCUUGGGUUCAAGCUCUAUGAUCUUGGAGAGGUUAUUUAACCUUUUUGUUCCUCAGAUUCCUCAUCUGUAAAAUGAUGACUUUAAUUCUGUCACUUUAGCAGGUUGUCCUUUGGAUUAAAUGAGCUGAGGCAUACGAACCUCCUAUUAGUACAGAACUGAGUAUAAUGUGAGUUAUCAUGUAUGGUAACUGCCACUCAGUUAGUGUUCCCUCCUUGUAUUAGUUAGGGUUCUCCAGAGAAACAGAACCAAUAGGAUAUAUGUAGAUAUACAGAAAGAGAUUAUGAGGAAUUGGCUCACACAAUUAUGCAGGACAAAGAGUCCCCAUGAUCUGCCAUCUACACUCGUAGGGCUCAGGAAAGCCAGUGCUGCAGUCCCACUCCAAACGCGGAGGCCUGAGAUCCAGGGACCAAUGGUGGUAAGUCCUGGUCUGAGUCUGAAGGCUCAAGAGGUAGGAGCAUUUAUGUCUAAGGGCAGGAGAAAAUGGCUAUCUCAACUCAAGCAGAGAGAGCAAAUCCACCUUUCCUCAGCCUUUUUGUUCUAUUUGGGCCCUCAGCAGAUUGGAUGAUGCCCUCUCACCUCUUUGUUCAGUCUACUGAUUCAAAUGGGAGAACUCUCACAGAAAUACCCAGAAAGAAUGCUUUACCAACUCUCUGGGCAUACCUUAGCCCAGUCAAGUUGACACAUGAAAUUAACCAUCAUACGCAUCAGAUAGUGAAUGCUUACAGAGUUUUAUUUCCUAGUCUAAGGGCUAGAAAACAAAGCUCAAAUGGGCUUAUAAAUUUGAAAUGCCAUUUUCAAGUCCAGCUGGGUGUUUUGUUGGUUGUCUCAUAGACCAACCACAGUCUAGAUUUAUCCUGUUUGCACAUGCUUUCCCCGCAUUAACUGGAAUUCCCACCCAGUGAUUGUAAAGCCUAAAAUUCCAUGUGCUGCUUCUACAACUCUGAGCCUUAGGGAGCUCCAAAGACCUCGUUGUGAGUUCCCCUGCUCUAUCUGGAUAGGCCCCCACCCACUGGGAAAGGCUCCACACCCAACUAGCUCCCCUGUCAGCCUGGCCAGGUACACCCCUCCUAAUCCUCAACGUAAUGGUUUUCACCUCCCUAGCAGCCCACGAAAGUGUUCAAACAAGCCAGUCACAUCUUCCCGUGGGAACCAAGGGUCACCUCAGCCUCCUGUCAGUACCAAGUCUGCCUCCCACAGCCCCUGCGGUUCACUGUUCCUGAGUACAGGCCCCGAGUGGUCUUGCAUGGCAUGGGGUUGUGAGGCCAACUUGUGACUAAUGAACUCCUGUCAGGCUCAUCUGUCCAGUGCUGGGUGUCAUAUAUUCGGUCACCGUGUGCUAUUUAGGGUGGGGAAUCCCUCCUUCAUCAAUGGAGUGAAUAGGAUACAAUCAGAACACCACCUACUCUUCUCCAGUGCUAAUCUAGAGCAGCCUUCACUAUCCUUCCCUAUGACUCCUUAUACCUCCUCUUCCUGUCCUUAAAUGUCAGAGCACUUUGUAUAUUUGUCUCUGAUUAUUUCAUGAUAAUGUCGGUUUUUGUUGCAGGUGUUUAGUUUCUUUUGGAGGAUAAUAUUUUUCUCUCACAGAUCUCUUCUGUCCCUUCUAAUGCUGCUUGUUUUUUUGUUUUUUGUUUUUUAAUUUCCAUAGAGGGUGUUAUUGGCAUAAUCCUUUGUUCAGUAGAAAUUUAUAGUUUCAGGAAUCAGUGACAUUCAAGAAUGUGUCUGUAGAUCUUACCUGGGAGGAGUGGGUCCAAUCUAAAUUCUGCUCAGAGGAACUUGUAUGGGAAAGUGAUACAGUAACCUGCUUUCGCUGGGUAAGGACUUCUCCUUGUAACUCAAAACCUACCUAUUGCCAUCUUUCCCACUAUUGACAUCUUGUACAGCCUCUGAAAUUUGUGAAUAUGGACUUGAAAUCCUGAUACUACAGGACAUUGUUUUAGGGUAGUUCCUUAGUGUCCUGUCUUUCAAGGUGAAAGGCCUUCUCUAUAGAGAAUGGAAAACUGGGAAAUCUCAGAAGCCACACCUUCCUUUGUUACAGAAGCCCUGAAGAUGAAGGGAUAAGACAUAUGC